CAAGGCGACGAUCCGUAACUGGUCUGAGAGGAUGAUCAGUCACACUGGAACUGAGACACGGUCCAGACUCCUACGGGAGGCAGCAGUGGGGAAUAUUGGACAAUGGGCGAAAGCCUGAUCCAGCCAUGCCGCGUGUGUGAAGAAGGUCUUCGGAUUGUAAAGCACUUUAAGUUGGGAGGAAGGGCAUUAACCUAAUACGUUAGUGUUUUGACGUUACCGACAGAAUAAGCACCGGCUAACUCUGUGCCAGCAGCCGCGGUAAUACAGAGGGUGCAAGCGUUAAUCGGAAUUACUGGGCGUAAAGCGCGCGUAGGUGGUUCGUUAAGUUGGAUGUGAAAGCCCCGGGCUCAACCUGGGAACUGCAUUCAAAACGACGAGCUAGAGUAUGGUAGAGGGUGGUGGAAUUUCCUGUGUAGCGGUGAAAUGCGUAGAUAUAGGAAGGAACACCAGUGGCGAAGGCGACCACCUGGACUGAUACUGACACUGAGGUGCGAAAGCGUGGGGGAGCAAACAGGAUUAGAUACCCUGGUAGUCCACGCCGUAAACGAUGUUCAACUAGCCGUUGGGAGCCUUGAGCUCUUUAGUGGCGCAGCUAACGCAUUUAAGUUGACCGCCUGGGGAGUACGGCCGCAAGGUUAAAACUCAAAUGAAUUGACGGGGGCCCGCACAAGCGGUGGAGCAUGUGGUUUAAUUUGAAGCAACGCGAAGAACCUUACCAGGCCUUGACAUCCAAUGAACUUUCCAGAGAUGGAUUGGUGCCUUCGGGAACAUUGAGACAGGUGCUGCAUGGCUGUCGUCAGCUCGUGUCGUGAGAUGUUGGGUUAAGUCCCGUAACGAGCGCAACCCUUGUCCUUAGUUACCAGCACGUAAUGGUGGGCACUCUAAGGAGACUGCCGGUGACAAACCGGAGGAAGGUGGGGAUGACGUCAAGUCAUCAUGGCCCUUACGGCCUGGGCUACACACGUGCUACAAUGGUCGGUACAGAGGGUUGCCAAGCCGCGAGGUGGAGCUAAUCCCACAAAACCGAUCAUAGUCCGGAUCGCAGUCUGCAACUCGACUGCGUGAAGUCGGAAUCGCUAGUAAUCGCGAAUCAGAAU
rnacentral:rRNA from 1 species